rnacentral:rRNA from 1 species
AGAGUUUGAUCAUGGCUCAGAUUGAACGCUGGCGGCAGGCUUAACACAUGCAAGUCGAGCGGAGUGAUGGUGCUUGCACUAUCACUUAGCGGCGGACGGGUGAGUAAUGCUUAGGAAUCUGCCUAUUAGUGGGGGACAACAUUUCGAAAGGAAUGCUAAUACCGCAUACGUCCUACGGGAGAAAGCAGGGGAUCUUCGGACCUUGCGCUAAUAGAUGAGCCUAAGUCGGAUUAGCUAGUUGGUGGGGUAAAGGCCUACCAAGGCGACGAUCUGUAGCGGGUCUGAGAGGAUGAUCCGCCACACUGGGACUGAGACACGGCCCAGACUCCUACGGGAGGCAGCAGUGGGGAAUAUUGGACAAUGGGCGCAACCCUGAUCCAGCCAUGCCGCGUGUGUGAAGAAGGCCUUAUGGUUGUAAAGCACUUUAAGCGAGGAGGAGGCUACUGAAGUUAAUACCUUCAGAUAGUGGACGUUACUCGCAGAAUAAGCACCGGCUAACUCUGUGCCAGCAGCCGCGGUAAUACAGAGGGUGCAAGCGUUAAUCGGAUUUACUGGGCGUAAAGCGCGCGUAGGCGGCUAAUUAAGUCAAAUGUGAAAUCCCCGAGCUUAACUUGGGAAUUGCAUUCGAUACUGGUUAGCUAGAGUGUGGGAGAGGAUGGUAGAAUUCCAGGUGUAGCGGUGAAAUGCGUAGAGAUCUGGAGGAAUACCGAUGGCGAAGGCAGCCAUCUGGCCUAACACUGACGCUGAGGUGCGAAAGCAUGGGGAGCAAACAGGAUUAGAUACCCUGGUAGUCCAUGCCGUAAACGAUGUCUACUAGCCGUUGGGGCCUUUGAGGCUUUAGUGGCGCAGCUAACGCGAUAAGUAGACCGCCUGGGGAGUACGGUCGCAAGACUAAAACUCAAAUGAAUUGACGGGGGCCCGCACAAGCGGUGGAGCAUGUGGUUUAAUUCGAUGCAACGCGAAGAACCUUACCUGGCCUUGACAUAGUAAGAACUUUCCAGAGAUGGAUUGGUGCCUUCGGGAACUUACAUACAGGUGCUGCAUGGCUGUCGUCAGCUCGUGUCGUGAGAUGUUGGGUUAAGUCCCGCAACGAGCGCAACCCUUUUCCUUAUUUGCCAGCGAGUAAUGUCGGGAACUUUAAGGAUACUGCCAGUGACAAACUGGAGGAAGGCGGGGACGACGUCAAGUCAUCAUGGCCCUUACGGCCAGGGCUACACACGUGCUACAAUGGUCGGUACAAAGGGUUGCUACCUAGCGAUAGGAUGCUAAUCUCAAAAAGCCGAUCGUAGUCCGGAUUGGAGUCUGCAACUCGACUCCAUGAAGUCGGAAUCGCUAGUAAUCGCGGAUCAGAAUGCCGCGGUGAAUACGUUCCCGGGCCUUGUACACACCGCCCGUCACACCAUGGGAGUUUGUUGCACCAGAAGUAGGUAGUCUAACCGCAAGGAGGACGCUUACCACGGUGUGGCCGAUGACUGGGGUGAAGUCGUAACAAGGUAGCCGUAGGGGAACCUGCGGCUGGAUCACCU